UGUUUACAUUGUUCUACGCACUUGGGUCAAAGGGGAAUUGUAACAUUUACAUAUCGGACUAAAUGACGUAGGUACCUUUUAAGUAUAAAAAGUGUCCAUACACAUUCUGAAGCCAACAGACUCGGUCAAACCAUUCAAUAUGAACAAAAUCUUCGUUUUCGUUUUAGUUGUAUCCGUUGUGUUUGCCGUUGUAUCGGCCGUACCUUUGCAGGGGGAGCCUAACAGUCCACUAGUUCGUGGGAAACGAGCCAUUUCCUGUAAAGCAGCUUCUGCGUGGCCAAACAAUCCGGCCUCCUACAACGAAGCUUGUAAUGUACAUUGCGUUUUGGGUGGAAAUCGGAGAGGUGUAUGUGCCAGUGGCACAUGCGUCUGUUUGGAUUAAUGCAAAUUAGGAUUUGCCAUAAAUUUAAUGUGAAAGCAACAAUAAUAAUAUUAUACCAAUAAUAUGAAAAUAAUUUUCCUAUA